AGUGAACGCUGGCGGUAGGCCUAACACAUGCAAGUCGAACGGCAGCACAGUAAGAGCUUGCUCUUGCGGGUGGCGAGUGGCGGACGGGUGAGGAAUACAUCGGAAUCUACUUUUUCGUGGGGGAUAACGUAGGGAAACUUACGCUAAUACCGCAUACGACCUACGGGUGAAAGCAGGGGAUCUUCGGACCUUGCGCGAUUGAAUGAGCCGAUGUCGGAUUAGCUAGUUGGCGGGGUAAAGGCCCACCAAGGCGACGAUCCGUAGCUGGUCUGAGAGGAUGAUCAGCCACACUGGAACUGAGACACGGUCCAGACUCCUACGGGAGGCAGCAGUGGGGAAUAUUGGACAAUGGGCGCAAGCCUGAUCCAGCCAUACCGCGUGGGUGAAGAAGGCCUUCGGGUUGUAAAGCCCUUUUGUUGGGAAAGAAAAGCAGCAGGUUAAGACCCCGCUGUUCUGACGGUACCCAAAGAAUAAGCACCGGCUAACUUCGU
rnacentral:rRNA from 1 species